UACGAGGGGGGCGAGCGUUGUUCGGAAUUAUUGGGCGUAAAGGGUGCGUAGGCGGUUCCGCAAGUCCUGUGUGAAAUCUUCGGGCUCAACUCGAAGUCUGCACGGGAAACUGCGGGGCUUGAGUCCGGGAGAGGUGAGUGGAACUGCGAGUGUAGAGGUGAAAUUCGUAGAUAUUCGCAAGAACACCAGUGGCGAAGGCGGCUCACUGGCCCGGUACUGACGCUGAGGUGCGAAAGCGUGGGGAGCGAACAGG
rnacentral:rRNA from 1 species